rnacentral:tRNA from 1 species
GGGGCUGUAGCUCGGCUGGGAGAGCACCUGCUUUGCAAGCAGGGGGUCAGCGGUUCGAUCCCGCUCAGCUCCACCA